rnacentral:rRNA from 1 species
GAUCAACGCUGGCGGCGUGCAUGAGACAUGCAAGUCGAACGAAGGAUCGGGCUUGCUCGAUCCUUAGUGGCGGACGGCUGAGUAACGCGUAGGUGACCUACCCUGAAGUGGGGAAUAACUGCCCGAAAGGGUGGCUAAUACCGCAUGUGGUCGCACGUUCAUUCGUGCGAGUAAAGCCGCAAGGCGCUUCGGGAGGGGCCUGCGUCCGAUUAGCUCGUUGGUGGGGUAAUGGCUUACCAAGGCGACGAUCGGUAGGUGGUCUGAGAGGACGAUCACCCAGACUGGGACUGAGACACGGCCCAGACUCCUACGGGAGGCAGCAGUCGGGAAUUUUGCGCAAUGGGGGAAACCCUGAAGCAGCAACGCCGCGUGAGGGAUGAAGGCCUUCGGGUUGUAAACCUCUUUUGUCAGGGACGAUGAUGACGGUACCUGGCGAAUAAGCCACGGCUAACUACGUG